rnacentral:rRNA from 1 species
GAGUUUGAUCCUGGCUCAGAUUGAACGCUGGCGGCAUGCCUUACACAUGCAAGUCGAACGGCAGCAUGAUCUAGCUUGCUAGAUUGCUGGCGAGUGGCGAACGGGUGAGUAAUACAUCGGAACGUGCCCUGUAGUGGGGAUAACUAGUCGAAAGAUUAGCUAAUACCGCAUGCGACCUGAGGGUUGAAAGUGGGGGACCGCAAGGCCUCAUGCUAUAGGAGCGGCCGAUGUCUGAUUAGCUAGUUGGUGGGGUAAAGGCCCACCAAGGCGACGAUCAGUAGCUGGUCUGAGAGGACGAUCAGCCACACUGGGACUGAGACACGGCCCAGACUCCUACGGGAGGCAGCAGUGGGGAAUUUUGGACAAUGGGCGAAAGCCUGAUCCAGCAAUGCCGCGUGUGUGAAGAAGGCC